UGGGGAAUCUUGGACAAUGGGGGCAACCCUGAUCCAGCCAUGCCGCGUGAGUGAUGAAGGCCUUAGGGUCGUAAAGCUCUUUCGCCUGUGAAGAUAAUGACGGUAGCAGGUAAAGAAACCCCGGCUAACUCCGUGCCAGCAGCCGCGGUAAUACGGAGGGUGCGAGCGUUAAUCGGAAUUACUGGGCGUAAAGCGCGCGUAGGCGGUUGCUUAAGUCGGAUGUGAAAUCCCCAGGGCUCAACCCUGGAACUGCCUUUCAUACUGGCGAUCUGGAGUUCGAGAGAGGUGAGUGGAAUUCCAAGUGUAGAGGUGAAAUUCGUAGAUAUUUGGAGGAACACCAGUGGCGAAGGCGGCUCACUGGCUCGAUACUGACGCUGAGGUGCGAAAGUGUGGGGAGCAAACAGGAUUAGAUA
rnacentral:rRNA from 1 species